rnacentral:ncRNA from 1 species
CCUGCUGUACGACCAGCAGUUGCCUAUUCAGACAUGCGUGACCGGUAACAGUCAGGUGUGAAGCUCUGAAGACAACGUGCCUCUCGACUGACGGCUCACCCCGGCGACGGGGAAGGAACCGGCACUGCCAGCCGCCGCGCGGUGUGAGGU